rnacentral:tRNA from 1 species
ACCUGGGUGGCUUAGUCGGUUGAGUGUCUGACUUCGGCUCAGGUCAUGAUCUCACUGUUUGUGGGUUCGAGCCCCAUGUCAGGCU